UCAGGUCUUCGUCGGGGCUACGAUGCUCCGGCGGAAUCUUUCCCUUUUAUUUUGCUUUAAAGUGCUUUGACCUUGUAUUUUGACUCGUUAAUUUCUGCUGUUGAUUGUGAUGUAGAAAACGGGUUAGAAGCUAAGAUUAGGUUUUCCUUUGAGGUUCCGAUUCGCUACUGUUUUCUAGAUCACAUCGAGGAUUUGGAGGUUUGAGGGGAUUGUGGUCGUUUGUCACGUUGGAAGUUUUGAACUUCAUGUUCAAG
rnacentral:lncRNA from 1 species